AUUGAACGCUGGCGGCAGGCCUAACACAUGCAAGUCGAACGAGUGGCGGACGGGUGAGUAAUGUCUGGGAAACUGCCCGAUGGAGGGGGAUAACUACUGGAAACGGUAGCUAAUACCGCAUACCAUCGGAUGUGCCCAGAUGGGAUUAGCUAGUAGGUGGGGUAAAGGCUCACCUAGGCGACGAGCCCUAGCUGGUCUGAGAGGCUGAACAGCAACACUGGAAUUGAGACACGGUCCAGACUCCUACGUGAGGCAGCAGUGGGUAAUAUUGCACAAUGGUCGCAAGCCUGAUGCAGCCAUGCCGCGUGUAUGAAGAAGGCCUUCGGGUUGUAAAGUACUGUCAGCGGGGAGGCGGUACCCACAGAAUAAGCACCGGCUAACUCCGUGCCAGCAGCCGCGGUAAUUC
rnacentral:rRNA from 1 species